rnacentral:rRNA from 1 species
GAUGAACGCUGGCGGCGUGCCUAAUACAUGCAAGUCGAGCGAACAGACGAGGAGCUUGCUCCUCUGACGUUAGCGGCGGACGGGUGAGUAACACGUGGAUAACCUACCUAUAAGACUGGGAUAACUUCGGGAAACCGGAGCUAAUACCGGAUAACAUGUUGAACCGCAUGGUUCAACAGUGAAAGACGGUCUUGCUGUCGCUUAUAGAUGGAUCCGCGCCGCAUUAGCUAGUUGGUAAGGUAACGGCUUACCAAGGCAACGAUGCGUAGCCGACCUGAGAGGGUGAUCGGCCACACUGGAACUGAGACACGGUCCAGACUCCUACGGGAGGCAGCAGUAGGGAAUCUUCCGCAACGGGCGAAAGCCUGACGGAGCAACGCCGCGUGAGUGAAGAAGGUCUUCGGAUCGUAAAACUCUGUUAUUAGGGAAGAACAAAUGUGUAAGUAACUAUGCACGUCUUGACGGUACCUAAUCAGAAAGCCACGGCUAACUACGUG